GACGAACGCUGGCGGCGUGCCUAACACAUGCAAGUCGAACGGAACUUGAGCUUCGGUUUAAGUUUAGUGGCGAACGGGUGAGUAACGCGUGAGGAACCUGCCUUUCAGUGGGGGACAACAGUUGGAAACGACUGCUAAUACCGCAUAAUGUUAUCGGACGGCAUCGUCUGAUAACCAAAGAUUUAUUGCUGAAAGAUGGCCUCGCGUCUGAUUAGAUAGUUGGUGGGGUAACGCCUACCAAGUCGACGAUCAGUAGCCGGAUGAGAGGUUGAACGGCCACAUUGGGACUGAGAUACGGCCCA
rnacentral:rRNA from 1 species